rnacentral:rRNA from 1 species
GGAAUAUUGCCCAAUGGUCGCAAGCCUGAAGCAGCGACGCCGCGUGGACGAUGAAGGCUUUCGGGUCGUAAAGUCCUUUUUUGGGUGACGAGCAGGGACGGUAGCCCAAGAAUAAGUGUCGGCUAACUACGUGCCAGCAGCCGCGGUAAAACGUAGGACACGAGCGUUAUCCGGAGUUACUGGGCGUAAAGGGCGUUCAGGCGGGUGAUUAAGUUCGCUAUGAAAGCGCCGGGCUAAACCCGGCGAGGCUGGCGGAUACUGGUCAUCUGGAGUGAGGCAGAGGAAGGUAGAAUUCCGCGUGUAGUGGUGAAAUGCGUAGAGAUGCGGAGGAAUACCAGUGGCGAAGGCGGCCUUCUGGGCCUCAACUGACGCUGAAGCGCGAAAGCAUGGGGAGCGAA